CGGCCCUGCAUGAGAGUGGCGAACGGGUGAGUAACACGUAGGUGAUCUACCCUUGGGUGGGGAAUAGCCCAUGGAAACAUGGGGUAAUACCGCAUGAGGUCUUGGGGCGUGAAGCCCCUGGAUGAAAGGAGCAAUUGUUCCNCCUGGGGAUGAGCCUGCGGUCCAUUAGCUAGUUGGUGUGGUAAGAGCGCACCAAGGCGACGAUGGAUAGCCGGCCUGAGAGGGUGAACGGUCACACUGGGACUGAGACACGGCCCAGACUCCUACGGGAGGCAGCAGCUAAGAAUCUUCCGCAAUGGGGGAAACCCUGACGGAGCGACGCCGCGUGGGCGAAGAAGGCCGCAAGGUUGUAAAGCCCUUUUCUUGACGAAGAAUAAGGUGAGGAGUGGAACGCCUCACUGAUGACGUUAGUCGAGGAAGAAGCCCCGGCCAAUUACGUGCCAGCAGCCGCGGUAACACGUAUGGGGCAAGCGUUGUUCGGAAUUACUGGGCGUAAAGGGUGCGCAGGCGGUUCAGCAAGCUCGGUGUUAAAUACCCCGGCCCAACCGGGGGGCUGCGCUGAGAACUGCUGGGCUUGAGUUCAGGAGGG
rnacentral:rRNA from 1 species